CCAUGCCCGUUCCCUUCUCUCUCCCUCUUGGGAACACCAAUUUCCAGCUCUCUCCCUAUCUCAACCCCUCCUCUCCCUCUUGCUCUCUGGUGCCCUUCUCUCUCCCUCUUGAAAAAACCUAUUUCCAACCCCAUCUCCCUGCUGCUCUCUCCCUAUCUCAGCCCCUCUAUCUCUCUCCCUCUCUCUCAAGUGGCAACAACAACCCCCCUCUCCCUUCCAAUGUCUCUUUCCAACACAAGUGGCCAUGAAAGCAACGGAUCGCAAGCACACAUGGUACCCUUGGGUAUGAAGAGAAAUUACGAUUGGCCAUUUAUGUACUCCACCAUGAAACUAUCCUUCUUCAGUGUCUUUUUCCGAUUCUAUUGUUUUUUCAAUGUAUAAAUCAAUGUACAUAUAGGGAAUUUUCAUCAAGUUUAGAGGCAGUUUGGGAACAGUUUGGAUGCAGAUUGAUUGGCUGGUAUCUAUUGUUUGGCUGCUGGUAUCCUUUUGGAUUUUCUUCUUUUCCAAGGUAUGAAGACUUUAGAUUCUGGGUCUCUUUGAUCUUGACUCCUGGAGCUGUUGUUUCCCAAGAGGAGUGGCAUGUUUUUUUUGUUAGCGUGGCUGAAGUUUGCAAUCCAUCCCGAUGAAGGAAUAGGGGUUGUUGAUGUGGUCAGCAGGAGAGGCCGACAGGAGCUCUUCAGGGAGAAGUUUGCUCUUUCUAGCCCUCUCUGCAGCUUUCUGCUUAGCUUGUUGUAUGUUAGGUGAGGCCCGACUUGUGAAGCCCUCCUGAAAUCUCUACUUUGUACACCAUCUGUUCAUA